GGGGACAUAGCUCAGUUGGGAGAGCGCCUCGUUUGCACCGAGGAGGUCCGGGGUUCGAGUCCCCGUGUCUCCA
rnacentral:tRNA from 1 species